AUAUCUAGAGUGCAGGAGAGGAAAGUAGAAUUCCUAGUGUAGCGGUGAAAUGCGUAGAUAUUAGGAGGAACACCAGUGGCGAAGGCGACUUACUGGACUGUAACUGACGCUGAGUCACGAAAGCGUGGGUAGCAAACAGGAUUAGAUACCCUGGUAGUCCACGCUGUAAACGAUGGGUGCUAGGUGUUGGGUAGCGAUAUUCAGUGCCGAAGUAAACACAAUAAGCACUCCGCCUGGGGAGUACGGUCGCAAGACUGAAACUCAAAGGAAUUGACGGGGACCCGCACAAGCAGCGGAGCAUGUGGUUUAAUUCGAAGCAACGCGAAGAACCUUACCAAGGCUUGACAUCCCCUUGACCGGCACAGAGAUGUGCCCUCUCCUUCGGGAGCAAGGGUGACGGGUGGUGCAUGGUUGUCGUCAGCUCGUGUCGUGAGAUGUUGGGUUAAGUCCCGCAACGAGCGCAACCCUUAUCCUUAGUUGCCAGCAGGUAAAGCUGGGCACUCUAAGGAGACUGCCGAUGAUAAAUCGGAGGAAGGUGGGGAUGACGUCAAAUCAUUAUGCCCCUUAUGUCUUGGGCUACCACGUGCUACAAUGGUCGGUACAA
rnacentral:rRNA from 1 species